CCUACGGGAGGCAGCAGUGAGGAAUAUUGGUCAAUGGGCUUACGCCUGAACCAGCCAAGUCGCGUGAGGGAAGACUGCCCUAUGGGUUGUAAACCUCUUUUGUCAGGGAGCAACGCCGGCUACGUGUAGCCGGACUGAGAGUACCUGAAGAAAAAGCAUCGGCUAACUCCGUGCCAGCCGCCGCGGUAAUACGGAGGAUGCGAGCGUUAUACGGAUUUAUUGGGUUUAACGGGUGCGUAGGCGGAAUGCCAAGUCAGCGGGAAAAUCGCGGGGCUCAACCUCGCUCCGCAGUUGAAACUGGUGUUCUGGAGUGGGCGAGAAGUAUGCGGAAUGCGUGGUGUAGCGGUGAAAUGCAUAGAUAUCACGCAGAAUUCCGAUUGCGAAGGCAGCAGACCGGCGCCCAACUGACGCUGAAGCACGAAAGCGUGGGUAUCGAACAGGAUUAGAUACCCGGGUAGUC
rnacentral:rRNA from 1 species